GAUGAACGCUAGCGGCAGGCUUAACACAUGCAAGUCGAGGGGUAGAGGUUGCUUGCAACCUUGAGACCGGCGCACGGGUGCGUAACGCGUAUGCAACCUACCUUUUACAGAGGGAUAGCCCAGAGAAAUUUGGAUUAAUACCUCAUAGUAUAUAUCUUUCGCAUGUUAGGUAUAUUAAAGUUCCAACGGUAAAAGAUGGGCAUGCGUCCUAUUAGCUAGAUGGUAAGGUAACGGCUUACCAUGGCUACGAUAGGUAGGGGUCCUGAGAGGGAGAUCCCCCACACCGGUACUGAGACACGGACCAGACCCCUACGGGAGGCAGCAGUGAGGAAUAUUGGACAAUGGGCGCGAGCCUGAUCCAGCCAUGCCGCGUGCAGGAAGAAGCAUCUAUGGUGUGUAAACUGCUUUUGUACAGGAAGAAACAUCCCGACGUGUCGGGACUUGACGGUACUGUAAGAAUAAGGAUCGGCUAACUCCGUGCCAGCCGCCGCAGUAAGAC
rnacentral:rRNA from 1 species